GUUGAGAACAUGUGUAAUCAAAUGGGAGCAUACACACUAGGCAACUGGCAACUUUGGUCGGACCAACUUUUUCGAUUCAACUCAGCAUGUCGAGUCGCGCGCGAUUUGUGUCGGCAACCUUUUCGUUCAAUUGCUGUUGACGUUUUGAUUUCUGCGUUCAUUGAAUUUCAAUAUCUGUCAGUGGUGAUGCAAAACAGUGUUUACAAUAUUGGCGCAUCUGUUUCUAUGAACGAACGAGAUGAAAUGCCAUCAAUAUGCAAGUUCUCUUGAUAUACCGUCCGGGAAGAGUGCUGAAUUGGUCAAGGAUGCGUAUAAUAUUGGAGAUUGAGCAAGAAGCACAGAAUCCGCUGGAUGUGUUUUUUCCAAGUUAACAGCAUUUGUUGCUGUCUGUUGUUAUCAGCGAGCCGAAAUAAGUAUGUUAGAUAGCCUAAGAUUGGAUAAUUCUGGUCAGAUUUCCCGGGAAACCGUUAUCAUCCCUGAUUCUCGAUUGUACCAUGUGCGAAGGUGCGGUCUGCGAAUAUGUGACCCCUGGGAGAAUUUUUCAUAUUUAGCGUUAGUAUAUACAUAAAUCAUUCUUUAGAAGAAUUGUUGAAAUUUUUUCUGUUUUCUUUAUAUAAUUCUUUUCGGCUGUAUUCUUAUUUCAAUGAUUUUUUUAUGUUUGUAAAUAUUGUUUGCUGGUUUGUGGUAUUACUCCAACGAAAAAUAAAUAUAUACAUCCAUUUUUUAGAAAUAUUUAGAAUUUAGAAAAAAAGCAGAACCCAAAAGAAAUUCUGAAAUCUAUUGUACACACGAAGGAAUAUUAACACAACGGUACAUUUUUUAAAUAAAAAUGGUAUUAUUGUUUGAUAUAUGAGAUGAAACACCUUCGAAAAAAGUACAUCCAGGAAUGCCAGAUAAGCAGAUUUUUUUUUCUGCUAUAGUGUAAAUUGUAUUUCA